rnacentral:rRNA from 1 species
UGCAAGUCGAACGAGUUCUCGUUGAUGAUCGGUGCUUGCACCGAGAUUCAACAUGGAACGAGUGGCGGACGGGUGAGUAACACGUGGGUAACCUGCCCUUAAGUGGGGGAUAACAUUUGGAAACAGAUGCUAAUACCGCAUAGAUCCAAGAACCGCAUGGUUCUUGGCUGAAAGAUGGCGUAAGCUAUCGCUUUUGGAUGGACCCGCGGCGUAUUAGCUAGUUGGUGAGGUAACGGCUCACCAAGGCGAUGAUACGUAGCCGAACUGAGAGGUUGAUCGGCCACAUUGGGACUGAGACACGGCCCAAACUCCUACGGGAGGCAGCAGUAGGGAAUCUUCCACAAUGGACGCAAGUCUGAUGGAGCAACGCCGCGUGAGUGAAGAAGGCUUUCGGGUCGUAAAACUCUGUUGUUGGAGAAGAAUGGUCGGCAGAGUAACUGUUGUCGGCGUGACGGUAUCCAACCAGAAAGCCACGGCUAACUACGUGCCAGCAGCCGCGGUAAUACGUAGGUGGCAAGCGUUAUCCGGAUUUAUUGGGCGUAAAGCGAGCGCAGGCGGUUUUUUAAGUCUGAUGUGAAAGCCCUCGGCUUAACCGAGGAAGCGCAUCGGAAACUGGGAAACUUGAGUGCAGAAGAGGACAGUGGAACUCCAUGUGUAGCGGUGAAAUGCGUAGAUAUAUGGAAGAACACCAGUGGCGAAGGCGGCUGUCUGGUCUGUAACUGACGCUGAGGCUCGAAAGCAUGGGUAGCGAACAGGAUUAGAUACCCUGGUAGUCCAUGCCGUAAACGAUGAAUGCUAGGUGUUGGAGGGUUUCCGCCCUUCAGUGCCGCAGCUAACGCAUUAAGCAUUCCGCCUGGGGAGUACGACCGCAAG